GCUAGACUUGCCUCUGAAGCUUUCAUGGGUGCAGUGGGUCCCCAGGGUUGGGAUUGGAAUGUUGUUUCUAAAGCCCACCUUAUUAUCUUCGUAGAUCUUUAGAAACAAAGGGCAACUGAGGGAGCAUCAUCUCUCUUGGGCGAGUCACGGUGUCUGCUGGCCCUGUUCAUGACCCUGUCCAUUUCCUAUUGGCUGUACAUCACUGUACAGCUGGUUUUAAACUAGUUUUUCACAUAACAGCUUUACUGUUGAAUGGCGUGAUUUUAGGUAAUUGAGUCCUAAAGGAAAGUACACUCACCUGAGCUGGCAGGUUGACUUGCGGCUGGGUCCCUGGGGUCCGGAUGACGUGGCCUUGGCCAGACUCCAGUCAGAAGACAUUGGUAUGGUAGAAAGAGCAUGGGGGAUAAACUCAGGCUUGCACAAGGGCUGAGCUUGCUAACUGCUGUGUGACCUCAGCCGGAACCUUAACCUCAUGGGCCUCGUUCUCUCAGCUCUGGGGCAGGAGGCUUGGUCUGUGUGUCCUGCCACCUCCCCUCCCCUGUGAUUGCCAAACAGCUGAGGGAGCAGAGCUUACAUG